rnacentral:rRNA from 1 species
CCUACGGGUGGCAGCAGUGGGGAAUAUUGGACAAUGGGCGAAAGCCUGAUCCAGCCAUGCCGCGUGUGUGAAGAAGGCCUUCGGGUUGUAAAGCACUUUCAGUGGGGAAGAAAGCCUUGGGGCUAAUACCCUCGAGGAAGGACAUCACCCACAGAAGAAGCACCGGCUAACUCCGUGCCAGCAGCCGCGGUAAUACGGAGGGUGCGAGCGUUAAUCGGAAUUACUGGGCGUAAAGCGCGCGUAGGCGGUCUGAUAAGCCGGUUGUGAAAGCCCCGGGCUCAACCUGGGAACGGCAUCCGGAGCUGUCAGGCUAGAGUGCAGGAGAGGAAGGUAGAAUUCCCGGUGUAGCGGUGAGAUGCGUAGAGAGCGGGAGGAAUACCAGUGGCGAAGGCGGCCUUCUGGACUGACACUGACGCUGAGGUGCGAAAGCGUGGGUAGCAAACAGGAUUAGAUACCCUAGUAGUC